rnacentral:rRNA from 1 species
UUUCCCAUAACUUUAUGUUAGUAAGAGCCCUGAGAGAUGAUCAGGUAGAUAGGUUGGAAGUGGAAGUGUGGCGACACAUGUAGCGGACCAAUACUAAUCGCUCGAGGACUUAUCCAA